rnacentral:rRNA from 1 species
AUGGUGCAGAGCUUCUAUGACAAGUUAUUCACAUUUGAACCUCGCCGAGCUGCGAAUGAGGUUAUUGAUGCUAUUCCUCCAAAGAUCACUGCUGAGAUGAAUGUAGAGUUGUGCAAGGCCUAUACCAAUGAAGAAAUUCGGGCUGCUUUGUUCCAAAUGGGUCCAACAAAAGCCCCGGGCCCUGAUGGGUUCCCGGCUCUUUUUUAUCAAACACACUGGAAUUUCCUUGAGGAGGACAUUUGUCAUGUUGUGAGGGGUUUUCUCGAGGGAAGGCCUAUACCUGAAGGAUUCUGUGACUCUGUGAUAGUUCUAAUUCCAAAUACGUCAAGACCAAAACAGCUGAAAAAUUCCGUCCAAUCAGCCUCUGCAAUGUUCUAUAUAAGAUCGCGUCUAAGGUCUUGGCCAAUCGCUUGA